rnacentral:lncRNA from 1 species
GCAAUUCUAUCCAUUUGAUCACCCAAAACAUUCUCCGUCCAUCAUUUGUCCAUUUCACAUAAUUUUAUUGACAGUCCUAAAGCAAAGUAGGUACCCAAUUAAGGCAAUCAACAAUUCUCAUGCUGGCAUGAAUGAUGAAAUUUUGCAUUUUGGUCAAAAUGAUCUAGGACAAACAUUAUUAUCCCUGGGUUUUCCUAGAAACUUUUUUGAGUCCCAUAAAAAAAGGUUGAGAAAAUGGGGAAAAUGAAGAUGGAGAAGGGCAUUUCUGUCCGGAAGGGGAGUGUUUAGGUGUAAGAGCAUGACAGACAGGUGAGAGGCCUGUUUGGUUGAUUCGGACCCCUUCAGUUUCGGGACAAAAAACAAUGAAAUAAUUGAAUUAGAAAAGCCUUGCUUUAGCUUUGACCCCUCCUCUCUCUCUCUCUCUCUCUCUCUCUCUCGCUCUGUCCAAUAGUUCAUCAGCGAAGAGGGCCAGUGCAGCCCAUUUUAAUGCGCUCUCUGUUUCUAUCUCUCUCUUUCUCUCUGCACACAAUCACAAACACAGGUAUCAAGCAACCAGGAGCUCUUUUUCUACAGUGCUGCUGCUUCUUUUCUUUUCUUUUCUUUUCUUUUUUUCCUCACUGUCAAAGCAAAGCCGUGAGGUUGUGAUCCUUGAAAUUAGGGACUCUUUUCGGCCUUCCCUCUAACCCUUCUUUAGCUUCUUGCGUUUCUCUUGAUGGGUUUGUAUCUCUUUACCUUCUAGUCUUACCUUCUGGAUAUGGGUCUCCUUUUGGUUUUGGAUCUGUGUUAGGGUUUGUGAUGGGGAUCUGGUUCCCAUUCAAUCGACCCUCAAUCUUUUCACGUGUCCGGUUCUGAUAAUUUAAUCCAUUUGGGGGUUUACUACGACUCUUCAAGAAUCUACAUUUGUUAAUGAGCUGAUUCAGAUUAUUUACUUCCUCCGGUGGUCCUUGAAUGCUUGCUUUACAUUCGUUGCCAAAUUGAUUUUGGGCUGAAUGCCCCCUUUUGGGAAAAAAGUUUGAAUAUUGAGUUGGACGGUCACAUUUGAUCACGGUAUGCAUGCUGCUAUGUGCCCGAUUUCUCGUUUCCCCCUUAAAUGCUGGCUGAGAUACGGGUUUUACCCCUGUUUUUUCAUGAAAGUUUGCAUUUUGAGCUGCUUUAGAAUAAGAAGAGUGAAAUGAUUUCUGCCUGGAUUUGAGCUAUAUGGGGAUCCAAAUAUGAUUUAUUUGUUUGCUGGAGCUUUAUGAUCUAGAUUUGUGAUUCAGUGUCUGGNNNN